AGGAUAGUUACUGAUGAACGUGACACCACAAGUCAAGGCAACUGGGUGGAGCAGGGAAGGCUUCUGCAGAAAGCUUUUACUGCAGCCACCCACCGACGCCCAUUUAGAUGGAUGGGCCCCUCUCCUGUGUGGUCUCAGUAGAACGGAUGGUGCGCACCUCCAACAGCCUGCUCAUCUCUCAGGUUGUCAACAAAGCUGCCUGAAGCUUCCAAGCCCAUCCAAGGCAAAGGAGAUUGUGUGGGUAUGAUGAAGGCUGAAGGCAACCACUCUACCCAGGACUGGAACCCAGUGCUGA